GAUGAACGCUGGCGGCGUGCUUAACACAUGCAAGUCGAACGGAAAGGCCCAAGCUUGCUUGGGUACUCGAGUGGCGAACGGGUGAGUAACACGUGGGUGAUCUGCCCUGCACUUCGGGAUAAGCCUGGGAAACUGGGUCUAAUACCGGAUAGGACCACUUCUUGGAUGUUGUGGUGGAAAGUUUUUUCGGUGUGGGAUGAGCUCGCGGCCUAUCAGCUUGUUGGUGGGGUAAUGGCCUACCAAGGCGUCGACGGGCAGCCGGCCUGAGAGGGUGUACGGCCACAUUGGGACUGAGAUACGGCCCAGACUCCUACGGGAGGCAGCAGUGGGGAAUAUUGCACAAUGGGCGCAAGCCUGAUGCAGCGACGCCGCGUGGGGGAUGACGGCCUUCGGGUUGUAAACGCCUUUCGCUAGGGACGAAGCGUUUUGUGACGGUACCUGGAGAAGAAGCACCGGCUAACUACGUG
rnacentral:rRNA from 1 species